GCAGUCUACAACUAUCGCAAUAAUCUAAGAUUCUGAACUGUUAGAGUGCCUAUUUGUUCUGUCUAUUAGCACUAGCAUAGAUUACUAUCUGUAGCUCUCCUGCAUAUACAACAUGCAAAAAUUAAGUGAAAGAGUUGGUGUGCCAUAAUUACGACAAUCCUGCGUAAUUGUGUUCUUUUCUUGAGGUAUUGAAUGGCUUUUUUUUUACCGAUACCUUCUGUUGAAGUCUAAGUGCACUAAUCAUCAGAGAUCCAAAGAUCAUGUAUAAUCAUUGCUCUCUUUUUGUGUUAUGGUCUGAGCCCAUGGAUUAAUUUUGUGUGCCAUAUUGGACGAAGAAAGAACCAUUUUAUGGCAGCCUGUGUUGAUAUUACUCCAUCAUUGCAUUUUGGUUGUACCUUGCUCAGCUUUUGGAAUAAAACUUACAUUCUCCAUGCCAAAUGCUUUUUGGUAAUGAUUUAUGAGUCAAAGUCAAACCGCUUGCUGAUUCAUAUCCCGUGGGACUUUGAUACAGGGGAAGUAUGAACAAGAGUAUGAGCGUUCAGAUACAUUUCAGAAAGAACUAAAACUGAAGGUUGGAGAGAUCUUUAGUUCUUGACAGAUCAAGCUUGAAGCUCAGCCUUGCAUUUUUUCCUUAUGGUUUUAGCUACUGUGCUUUUACCAUUUUUAAUGAAGAAGAGAAAAAAGAAAGUGUGAGCAUGAGAAGCAGUGGGUGCCUUCAAGAAGGUAAUUUUCUGAAUCCUUCAAUUUAUAUUUUCCAACACGGUCAUCUUUAAGAUUACUAGCUAUGUUCUUUGUUCAAUUUAUGUGUCCUCGCUUUUGUACAGUGUGCUAGAUUGGCAUAUUAAUAUGCACUUCAAUUGUUGCGUAUCGUGCUUAAUGAGCUUUCUGCCCUUGGCUUUUAAUUUGUAUUAGACUUUAUACACUGGCAUGACUAAAACAUGGAAGCACUUUUCGCUGUAAAAUGUAGACAAGGGCUACAAAAGGCUACCAAAAGAAAGUCAGCUUCAUCCCCAAAUCUGAAGCAUUAGUAUUGCUGAUUGCCGUGGUCUUCAGCAUUAUCUCCCCGUGCAUGUUGAGGAGGCAUUUCACUAGCGAGAGAUCGAAUAUGCAGGUCGAAAAUAGGUGUCAAUAAUUUUGGAGAUGGAGCUAUUGGGUCCUUUGUUAGACAGCUGAGGUCAAUAGUAAAAUAGAGUAGUUGGUUUAGGUUGGUACGAGCCAUAGCACAUGCAAUUGUACAGUUUCUUUGAUUUGUAUUCCCUAACUUUAAAAAAAUUGCUUGAUUGUUUUGGAAUUCAAUGCACUAAAUUUUGAUGAUCCUAUGUAGAAUUUUUGAAAAUUGCAUGAGCCAGGGCUGUUGGUCAAUGCUUUUGAAUUUGUCUUAAGGCACAGGCUCAUUUGCUAUCA